rnacentral:tRNA from 1 species
UUAUAUAAAGUAAAAUUUACAUUUAAUUUCGACUUAACUUUAGGGUAUUAAUUACCAUAUAUAAA